AACGCACAUUGCGCCCGCCAGUACUCUGGCGGGCAUGCCUGUUCGAGCGUCAUUUCAACCCUCAGGCCCCCCCCAGGGCGGGCCUGGUGUUGGGGAUCGGCGGCUGGGCGGGAAGGUUCUCUCUCCUCCUCCUCUGGGGGGCUGGGGGGAAAGCCGCCCGCCCGCACCCGCCGCCCCCGAAAUGAAUUGGCGGUCUCGCCGCGGCCUCCUCUGCGUAGUAGCACACCUCGCAGCAGGGAGCGCGGCGCGGCCACUGCCGUAAAACGCACCAAAACUCUCCAGAGUUGACCUCGAAUCAGGUAGGACUACCCGCUGAACUUAA
rnacentral:misc_RNA from 1 species